AGAGUUUGAUCAUGGCUCAGGACGAACGCUGGCGGCGUGCUUAACACAUGCAAGUCGAACGGAAAGGCCCUUCGGGGUACUCGAGUGGCGAACGGGUGAGUAACACGUGGGUAAUCUGCCCUGCACAUCGGGAUAAGCCUGGGAAACUGGGUCUAAUACCGAAUAGGACCACAGGACACAUGUCCUGUGGUGGAAAGCUUUUGCGGUGUGGGAUGGGCCCGCGGCCUAUCAGCUUGUUGGUGGGGUGAUGGCCUACCAAGGCGACGACGGGUAGCCGGCCUGAGAGGGUGUCCGGCCACACUGGGACUGAGAUACGGCCCAGACUCCUACGGGAGGCAGCAGUGGGGAAUAUUGCACAAUGGGCGAAAGCCUGAUGCAGCGACGCCGCGUGGGGGAUGACGGCCUUCGGGUUGUAAACCUCUUUCACCAUCGACGAAGGUCCGGGUUUUCUCGGGCUGACGGUAGGUGGAGAAGAAGCACCGGCCAACUACGUGCCAGCAGCCGCGGUAAUGCGUAGGGUGCGAGCGUUGUCCGGAAUUACUGGGCGUAAAGAGCUCGUAGGUGGUUUGUCGCGUUGUUCGUGAAAUCUCACGGCUUAACUGUGAGCGUGCGGGCGAUACGGGCAGACUUGAGUACUGCAGGGGAGACUGGAAUUCCUGGUGUAGCGGUGGAAUGCGCAGAUAUCAGGAGGAACACCGGUGGCGAAGGCGGGUCUCUGGGCAGUAACUGACGCUGAGGAGCGAAAGCGUGGGGAGCGAACAGGAUUAGAUACCCUGGUAGUCC
rnacentral:rRNA from 1 species